rnacentral:lncRNA from 1 species
AUACAAAAACCCUUCAAAGCACUUUCUUCCAAUUUCCAUAACAUUUUCUUCCAAUCUGUGAAACUUAAUUCGUAUCUUGAGGAAGAAGAAGAAGAAUGUCAAACUCGAAUAAUCAUUUGCCGUCACUGCACAGUUACCCCGCCAAACUCGAAGCUGACUCUCCAAUUCCACCACGUUGUCGCCGCUGCCUUUGAAUGCCACCACUGCUACUAUAGCUUAUGAAUCCACAAUUUCCG